CGCGUAGGGGGGACACGUCCCCGCGUACACCGAACACUGUGCGCUACCCGCAAUCAAUUUGUUACCGUUGGCAAACAGUCGAAUACCCGUUGACGCUUCGGGGUACCUGUCGCACGUCGGCCGUCCUUGCGUGCGGUGAGCAGGCCGCGGGCUUCGGUCCGCGGUCGGCGAAGGUCCAACGAACCGUCCGCGCGAKCUCUCGAGCGCGCGCGUUCGGUCGCCCCGUCGCAUUCUCUGUCAGUCAGUCAGUUACCACGUACGGUCGCAUCAGUUACCAUGUCAGGACAACGAGAGUUACACAGAC
rnacentral:misc_RNA from 1 species